rnacentral:rRNA from 1 species
GAUGAACGCUGGCGGCGUGCCUAAUACAUGCAAGUCGAGCGAACAGAUGAGGAGCUUGCUCCUCUGACGUUAGCGGCGGACGGGUGAGUAACACGUGGAUAACCUACCUAUAAGACUGGGAUAACUUCGGGAAACCGGAGCUAAUACCGGAUAAUAUAUUGAACCGCAUGGUUCAAUAGUGAAAGACGGUUUUGCUGUCACUUAUAGAUGGAUCCGCGCCGCAUUAGCUAGUUGGUAAGGUAACGGCUUACCAAGGCAACGAUGCGUAGCCGACCUGAGAGGGGUGUCCGGCAAACCUGAACUGAGAAAAGGUUCAGAACUCCAAGGGAGGCAGGAGUAGGGAAUCUUCCGCAAUGGGCGAAAGCCUGACGGAGCAACGCCGCGUGAGUGAUGAAGGUCUUCGGAUCGUAAAACUCUGUUAUUAGGGAAGAACAAAUGUGUAAGUAACUAUGCACGUCUUGACGGUACCUAAUCAGAAAGCCACGGCUAACUACGUG